GGAUUAGAUACCCUGGUAGUCCACGCCGUAAACGAUGGGUACUAGAUGUUGCGGGAAUUGACCCCUGCAGUGUCGACGCUAACGCAUUAAGUACCCCGCCUGGGAAGUACGGUCGCAAGAUUAAAACUCAAAGGAAUUGACGGGGGCCCGCACAAGCGGUGGAGCAUGUGGUUUAAUUCGAUGCAACGCGAAGAACCUUACCUGGGUUUGACAUCCACUGACCGAUGUAGAGAUACAGUUUUUCCUUCGGGAACAGUGAGACAGGUGCUGCAUGGCUGUCGUCAGCUCGUGCCG
rnacentral:rRNA from 1 species